rnacentral:rRNA from 1 species
GGGUUGUGAGGUUAAGCGACUAAGCGUACACGGUGGAUGCCCUGGCAGUCAGAGGCGAUGAAGGGCGUGCUAAUCUGCGAUAAGCGCCGGUAAGGUGAUAUGAACCGUUAUAACCGGCGAUACCCGAAUGGGGAAACCCAGUGUGAUUCGUCACACUAUCAUUAACUGAAUCCAUAGGUUAAUGAGGCGAACCGGGGGAACUGAAACAUCUAAGUACCCCGAGGAAAAGAAAUCAACCGAGAUUCCCCCAGUAGCGGCGAGCGAACGGGGAGGAGCCCAGAGCCUGAAUCAGCAUGUGUGUUAGUGGAAGCGUCUGGAAAGGCGCGCGAUACAGGGUGACAGCCCCGUACACAAAAGCGCAUGUGCUGUGAGCUCGAUGAGUAGGGCGGGACACGUGGUAUCCUGUCUGAAUAUGGGGGGACCAUCCUCCAAGGCUAAAUACUCCUGACUGACCGAUAGUGAACCAGUACCGUGAGGGAAAGGCGAAAAGAACCCCGGCGAGGGGAGUGAAAAAGAACCUGAAACCGUGUACGUACAAGCAGUGGGAGCACAGGUUUACCUGUGUGACUGCGUACCUUUUGUAUAAUGGGUCAGCGACUUAUAUUCUGUAGCAAGGUUAACCGUAUAGGGGAGCCGGAGGGAAACCGAGUCUUAACCGGGCGUUAAGUUGCAGGGUAUAGACCCGAAACCCGGUGAUCUAGCCAUGGGCAGGUUGAAGGUUGGGUAACACUAACUGGAGGACCGAACCGACUAAUGUUGAAAAAUUAGCGGAUGACCUGUGGCUGGGGGUGAAAGGCCAAUCAAACCGGGAGAUAGCUGGUUCUCCCCGAAAGCUAUUUAGGUAGCGCCUCGUGAAUUCAUCUCCGGGGGUAGAGCACUGUUUCGGCUAGGGGGCCAUCCCGGCUUACCAACCCGAUGCAAACUGCGAAUACCGGAGAAUGUUAUCACGGGAGACACACGGCGGGUGCUAACGUCCGUCGUGAAGAGGGAAACAACCCAGACCGCCAGCUAAGGUCCCAAAGUCAUGGUUAAGUGGGAAACGAUGUGGGAAGGCCCAGACAGCCAGGAUGUUGGCUUAGAAGCAGCCAUCAUUUAAAGAAAGCGUAAUAGCUCACUGGUCGAGUCGGCCUGCGCGGAAGAUGUAACGGGGCUAAACCAUGCACCGAAGCUGCGGCAGCGAACGUAUCACUUAAAGCGAUUCAGCGGGUUACGAUUGACGGAGCGAAGCGACGUCAAAGCGUAUACAAAGUCGAGUCGGUUUAAGGAUACGUUCGUUGGGUAGGGGAGCGUUCUGUAAGCCUGUGAAGGUGGCCUGUGAGGGUUGCUGGAGGUAUCAGAAGUGCGAAUGCUGACAUAAGUAACGAUAAAGCGGGUGAAAAGCCCGCUCGCCGGAAGACCAAGGGUUCCUGUCCAACGUUAAUCGGGGCAGGGUGAGUCGACCCCUAAGGCGAGGCCGAAAGGCGUAGUCGAUGGGAAACGGGUUAAUAUUCCCGUACUUGGUGUUACUGCGAAGGGGGACGGAGAAGGCUAUGUUGGCCGGGCGACGGUUGUCCCGGUUUAAGCGUGUAGGCUGGUUUUCCAGGCAAAUCCGGAAAAUCAAGGCUGAGGCGUGACGACGAGGCACUACGGUGCUGAAGCAACAAAUGCCCUGCUUCCAGGAAAAGCCUCUAAGCAUCAGGUAACAUCAAAUCGUACCCCAAACCGACACAGGUGGUCAGGUAGAGAAUACCAAGGCGCUUGAGAGAACUCGGGUGAAGGAACUAGGCAAAAUGGUGCCGUAACUUCGGGAGAAGGCACGCUGACACGUAGGUGAAGUGAUUUACUCACGGAGCUGAAGUCAGUCGAAGAUACCAGCUGGCUGCAACUGUUUAUUAAAAACACAGCACUGUGCAAACACGAAAGUGGACGUAUACGGUGUGACGCCUGCCCGGUGCCGGAAGGUUAAUUGAUGGGGUCAGCGCAAGCGAAGCUCCUGAUCGAAGCCCCGGUAAACGGCGGCCGUAACUAUAACGGUCCUAAGGUAGCGAAAUUCCUUGUCGGGUAAGUUCCGACCUGCACGAAUGGCGUAAUGAUGGCCAGGCUGUCUCCACCCGAGACUCAGUGAAAUUGAACUCGCUGUGAAGAUGCAGUGUACCCGCGGCAAGACGGAAAGACCCCGUGAACCUUUACUAUAGCUUGACACUGAACAUUGAGCCUUGAUGUGUAGGAUAGGUGGGAGGCUUUGAAGCGUGGACGCCAGUCUGCGUGGAGCCGACCUUGAAAUACCACCCUUUAAUGUUUGAUGUUCUAACGUGGACCCGUGAUCCGGGUUGCGGACAGUGUCUGGUGGGUAGUUUGACUGGGGCGGUCUCCUCCUAAAGAGUAACGGAGGAGCACGAAGGUUGGCUAAUCCUGGUCGGACAUCAGGAGGUUAGUGCAAUGGCAUAAGCCAGCUUGACUGCGAGCGUGACGGCGCGAGCAGGUGCGAAAGCAGGUCAUAGUGAUCCGGUGGUUCUGAAUGGAAGGGCCAUCGCUCAACGGAUAAAAGGUACUCCGGGGAUAACAGGCUGAUACCGCCCAAGAGUUCAUAUCGACGGCGGUGUUUGGCACCUCGAUGUCGGCUCAUCACAUCCUGGGGCUGAAGUAGGUCCCAAGGGUAUGGCUGUUCGCCAUUUAAAGUGGUACGCGAGCUGGGUUUAGAACGUCGUGAGACAGUUCGGUCCCUAUCUGCCGUGGGCGCUGGAGAACUGAGGGGGGCUGCUCCUAGUACGAGAGGACCGGAGUGGACGCAUCACUGGUGUUCGGGUUGUCAUGCCAAUGGCACUGCCCGGUAGCUAAAUGCGGAAGAGAUAAGUGCUGAAAGCAUCUAAGCACGAAACUUGCCCCGAGAUGAGUUCUCCCUGAGACUUAGAGUCUCCUGAAGGAACGUUGAAGACGACGACGUUGAUAGGCCGGGUGUGUAAGCGCAGCGAUGCGUUGAGCUAACCGGUACUAAUGAACCGUGAGGCUUAACCUUACAACGCCGAAG